GGCUUAAGAAUUAUGAGCAACACACGAAAACCAGCUGGAGAAAAGCUGCUACAUAUCCAAAUUGUGGAAAAAUUAAUAUUUACAAGGUUGAUCUACGUUGCAUUCAUCUUACAGAUAAAAGAGUCAAGGGAAUAAGAUCUACACGAAAUACAGAUUGUCCAGCAAAGCUUAAUAUUGUCAUUAAAAGGUAUAUAGCUAAAUCUAGAGCUAAAAAUGUAGACCAUCUUGUUGCUGAAUGGCCAGCUAUUGUAACAUUUAAGGCUACGCAUAAUCAUUGCAUUAUUAGUGCAGCAGUUUUAAAAUAUUGUGACAUGUCAGAUGAGACCAGGGCAAAACUUCAGAACCUUUUUCGACAAGGUCAUAACCCUUCAUCGGUCUUGCAUUGUUUAAAAACAGAUUUGUUGCUGGAAAAUCCAGGAAAUUAUUAUGAAAUGGCAGCAGAUACUCAUUAUGUCCCGACAGUUUCUGUAGCACAUAAAUUGUUUGAAAAGGAGUUUUCAAAAGAGUAUGGAUGUUUUACAGGAAAUUUGAUGUUAGAAAAUUUAAAAGCAAAAUUGGAGGAAUACACUAAAACAUAUAAUCAAGGAAGAGCAAAGCUUUACAAAACCAAAGAUGAUAAUCACUAUUUGUGGGGUAUAAAUGCAAAACGCGACAUGUCCAUUAGAUUACAAUUUGAGAAAACUAAAAAAAACCUUUUUCGAGGUUUUCAUUGCUUUAUUGAAAUAAGUUUUAAUUAUUGUUUAAAACUGAAUUGUUAAAUAUGUCUACCCUACCAUUUUGAUGAAUGCAUAAUCAUUAGGCUUCUUUUAAUUUAGAGCUAUAUUUUGGACAUGUCGCAUUCUGAAACUAAGGCUUGGACAUGUCUUAUUUUGCACACAACAAUCGAGCAGAGCAAUGAUAAACCCAACUUACUAAAAUUAUUAGCUCCCGUUUUUUAUUAGGAAAAAAACCAAGUCACUUAGAAAAACUUAUUUUUAGAUAUUAAUUUCUUCGUCACUUAUUAUUUCAUUUUCAUCGGCAUCAACAUGCCUUUCAAAAUUAUUUUCUACAUUGCUGUCGAAAAUAUUUUUGAAAUAACCUAAUGCUUCGUUUGAUUUCAAUUCAUCCCCGUAGUGAGUCUUUAAUAAGUUUGAAAUGCUUUUAAUUUUAUCUUCUUUUAUUCUCAGUCCAACUUGGAGUGUUUUAGGCCUUACUGCUUCAAUUCGCUUCCCUUUUCUACAAAUACCUUUUGCUUGUCCUAAAUCACUCCUGUAUAAUGCUUCGCCUCUGACUAAAACCGUGCCUAAUUUAUUUUUGGUUAGAACGAAUCUUUUUGCUGGUUUAAAUUUGAAGUGCCAUUGUGUAGUAGGUUUUAAAGUUUUUUUAUUUCAGUUUUCCAGUCGAAAACCUGAAAAUCUACACCCAUUUUAAAAACUGUUGCCCGAUCUUUUAUCAUGUUCACGUAAUGAGAAGGUUCUAGGAUCUCCGCAGUUCUUCGGACUACUUUUUCGAUAUUGCCGAAAACUCUGUCAUAAAAGAAUGACCUACUACAGGGAAAAAUACUUGUAUCUCUUCAAUGUUCGGAGGCGCGUUGGAAUUAAACCAGUUGCAAAGCAUUCCGAUAAAAAUCGAAUUCUUAUUCUGCUUCCCACAACCAUCGCAGAAAAGUCGAAUGAUUUUGUUAGUAGCUUUAAACUCAUACGUACUUAGAGUAUGAUGAAUAGCAGAUGCAAUCUCAUUGGAGCUCUUGGGUCUUUCGACUUCUGUCCAUGUUAUAACACCUUACGUUUUCUUUUGUUAAUGGUGAUUUUGAACUUCCUAUGACAACUCCAAAAUUAAAAAAGUUAAUUUGCAUUGAAAAAUAGGCCUGCUGAUCGGGUAAUUUCGGUAGGGGUAAAUUUUUUUGACAGUCUAAAGAAAUAUUUACUACUUCAUCGGAGUUUUGUUUGAGAAAAGCAAAGAAGCUUUUGGCUUGAAGAGUAUGGACUCUGUGAUUUGUAAUAAAUGACUGCUUUUCCUUAGGAUCCGUGCAUCUCCUAAUUUUUUCUUUAUAUUGAAGACAGGUUGAACAAAGAUCUGUUUGAGGUGUUCCGAAUCCAACGUUGUAUUUCCUAUUAAAAUAUUUUCGAAAGUAGCACUGCUUCACUUUUUGAUCAGGCUCAGCUUGUUCGUUGUAGACAUUCCAUAGUUUUUUUAUGUUUAAGUCACAAGGCAAAUAAACACGAUGUGGACUAUCAUAGCGGCAAUAGUGACUUUCGGUGCACCUUAAUGAUUCAAUGAAUGUCUUCAUGCAAACCUUUUUGUCAUCGUUUUUCCCCAUAACACGAUCACCGCCACGAUUCUCCUUUGGCGCUGUUCCUGUGUUUAUAAACUUUUUCACCAGGCGCAAUAUUCUGUCCUUUUUCACUCCUAAGAUACCCAGAAAUGCCUCCCUACAUACUUGAACUGCUUUACCGUCUUGCUUUCGUACCUUAUAGGUUAAAGACACUGCUUUUGGCUUACUAGCAGCACGCCCUCUACUUCUUUUUCUUGCAGGCGUGGAUCCUGAGCAAUAACUUAAAAGAAAUGCAUCUUGGUCAGCUUUCUUCUUGCUUGAAUAAAAACUUCUAUGAAACUCCUUCAUAUCGUUCAUGGUAAGAUGCCAGCAUAGAAAUGGUCUAUUACUUUCCCUAUGUCCACAUUUGGGAAAUUCUGGUAAAGAUUUAGGUGAAUAUCUGAAACAAAAAAAAAAAUAAGCUCAGCUUGAAAUAGCUUUGCCGAUUGCUCGAUUUUUUUUAUGAAUUUGUUUCUAUAGGUUGGAAUAGUCGUAGAAAAUAUGCAUUACAUUAUUAAUAAUUUAAGCAAUUUUAAUUAUUUCUCAAACAAUAAAAACUCGGCAAAGAAUUAAACAAAAACUUCAGCAACAUUUUUAAAUAUUAUUAAAAGGGCAAAUAUUUAUGAGAAAAAUAUUAAUAUCACAGUCAUUUAACGUAUUGUAAACAUUUAUUGCGUUUCUUAGUUAACUAUUUAUUUAUUUUUAUACUUGGUCUUAACUUACCUUCCUACUUUAGCUUUUUCCCUUUUCCAUUCUUGUGGUUGAAAAGAUCUUUUUCGAGCUCGAUUUUGGGUAUCCGGCAAGAGUUUCUUGUUGUUAUCGGCCAUUAUAUUUAUAAUAUUUAUGAAAACACAUGCACAGAAUAUCAACAAAUUUCACCCUCGUACUUGCAUGCUUGUAAAGAAAAAAAUAAUAAUACGUUUAUACUAAAACAUACGAUUUAUCAGGUGUUAGUAAGCUGCUCGCUGAUUGGUUGUGUGGACAACGUCGCAUUUUGAAUCUCAAAUGCAGGUUGCGAUGUCGCAUUUUGCGUUUAACCGAAAUUUUUAACGAGCCUUUAAAAGCGUAAAUCUCGUGGUUUGCAGGCAAAUAUAUUAGUGGCAGAUAGAGAAAUUUAUACACUUUCUGGGUGCACAUGAAGGUCAUUUUCGUUGAAAAAUGGACAUGUCGCGUUUUGCGUUUAUACCCCACAUUUUAUAGUUUUGUAUACUCCAAUUAUGUCUCGAGCUCAUCAAAACAUAAGUCAAAGUCGAGAGUUGGUAAUGGUCGAUGCUUCUGGUGGAAUGGACAAACAGAGACAUCGAGUAUAUUUCUUUAUAACGCCAACAGUGGCAGGUGGCUUGCCACUUGGAGUCAUCAUAACUGAUACUAAAAAGGAAUAUGUUUUUGAUGAAGCAUUACAGGAAAUGAAAAAUAUAUUACCGCCUGACUCAUUUUAUAAACAAAGAUACCCUACAGUAUUUUUAACUGACAAUGACCUGAAAGAAAGAAAUCCCUUAAAAAAAUGUUUGCUGGUUCUGUGCUUUUGUUGUGCCAAUUUCAUUUUUUAAAAGCAUGUUGGACUUGGUUAUGUGACACCAAGCAUGGCAUUUUGCAAUCUAAUCGACAAGAGCUAUAUUUCAUGAUAAAAAACCUUGUUUAUGCUUUAAAUGUAGAAGAAGCUUUAAAGCACCAUACAGUAAUUCUCAACAGUAAUGUCUCAAAAAAGUAUCCUCUUAUAACCAUUAUUUAAAAUUAUGGAAUUACAAAGAGGACUGGGCUCCCUGUUAUCGACAAGAAUAUAUGUUAAGAGGUAGUAGACACAACAAAUUAUGUAGAGGUGGUUUUCCGAAUUCUAAAGGACUUUAUCCUAAAUAGAGUUAUGGCCUUUAGUAUCAUUCAGCUGGUUGACUAUAUUCUUACUCGCUAUGAAAUGUAUAUGGAAAAAAGACUCAUAGAUUUCACGAACGGUCGAUACCCAAAAGCUAUGUUAAAAAGGAUGUUACCCAAACAAAGAGGCAAUGUGUCCUAUGAGAUUCAGAGAUGUAUUGAUAUGCAGGGUGUUUUUGACCUGAUUUCUAGUGAAAAUAAGAACCAAUAUUGGGUAGACAUUAUUAAUGGUACCUGCUCUUGUGCUAAAGGCACAACAGGCAGUUUAUGUUCACAUGCAUCUGCUGUGAUUCUUCAUAUGCAAGACAAGCUUGAGAGUGGUUUUAAUUUAAUUUCUGAGAAUGCCAAACAAACAAUGUAUUACAUAGCCACAGGAAAAAAGUGCCCUAGUAAUUGGUUAAAGCCGCUGAAAGAAAUUCCUGUCUCCGUAAGCAAUACAGAAAUAUUUGAAAGUAAUAACGUCCUUAGUAACCCAAGUAGUAACGUACUGAAGCCUUUGGUAAUUCCCGAGGAAACUUAUAAAGAACCCUUGAGUACUUUAAUUCAAAAGAAGGAUGAAAACCAUAUUUUUCAGCUAUUGGAUACAGAAAAAAUGGAACUUGAAAAUUGGUUUGAUAGAAUAACAAAAGGUGUACACCAACCAAAUAUUUUUGUCCCAGCAGUGCAAAAAAUGUUGAGUAAUACGAAAAAAUUUGCAAAAACAGAAACUGGUCUUAUUAGUGCAUUACAUACAUUUGGUAAAUAUAGUGGACUUGUACCUUUAAAAAAUGGAAAGAAAACAGCACAAAAUAAACAAUUAAGAAGAAAACAUUCAACCUACAGCAAUUGGUCGACGGUUGACGUUUGGUAAACUCGACUGUUGACGAUUGAACACAAUAAAAGGCUAUUUUUGAAAGAGUUAUUUAUAUCAAGCAACCUAUCAGUUAUUGUUUGGUUAUUUACAUUUGUGGUUGGUGUUUUUGAUUGUUAACUUGUCACAAUUUGUUGACAUCAAAUAAUUUUGAGUGAAUUUAGUUUGAUUUAGAUGCCUAAGCAAAGUUUUGCUUGUGUUAAGUUUAUCAAAAGAUAAAAUUAAAAUUUCAAAAAAUAGUACGUCUUAGUGAGCGAGAGCGAAUAGAGAUUUUGAUGAUGAUUGGUUAUGGAAACAGGAUGCGCACUCAGAUGGAAGUCUGUGAAAUUUAUCAUGCCAAGUAUCCUGAUAGGCCACGUAUAUCUCAAAGUACUGUCAGUAAAAUAGAACAGAAAUAUCGGGAUUUGGGUCAUGUCAGGGAUAAUUAUACGAAAGGUCGGUCAAGUAUAUCAGAAGAGAAACAACUAUAUAAAUGUUUUGCUGGCAGUUGAAGAAGAUUGCCAUAAAACGACUCGCAAUAUUGCGUUAGAAAAUCAGAUAUCCCAGACAUCCGUCGUUAAGUAUUUAGGUAUAAAUAAAUGGCACCCUUACAAAGUUCAAUUGGUUCAUGAACUAAAUGAAGAUGACCCAGAUAGGCGUUUAGAAUUUUGUGAGAGACUUAUGGACUUGUGCCAUGCUAAUCCACAAUUUUUAAAAAAAAUUGUAUUUUCUGAUGAGGCAACGUUUUGUCUUCAUGGUAGUGUAAAUCGGCAAAACUGCCGAUAUUGGGCUACUGAAAAUCCGCACUGGAUGAUGGCGUGCCACAGCCAAGUCCCUCAAAAAGUAAAUGUUUGGGCGGGGGUGAUUGAAAACAGGGUUAUAGGGCCCUUUUUCUUUGAAGGAUACUUGAAUGGUGAGAGGUAUUUAGAGUUUUUAGAAAAUGACUUGGUUCCAUGCCUUGCCACUUUAUACCCCGAUCCAGAAGACCCGGAUAUAUUAGAUAAUUCCUUAUGGUAUCAGCAAGAUGGAGCUCCAGUCCAUUACACUCGUCCCGUGCGCCAGUCCUGGAUACCGUUUUCCCUGGACGUUGGAUUGGUCGGAGGGGUGCAAUUGAAUGGCCGGCCAGAUCGCCGGAUCUUACUCCUUUAGAUUUUUUUUUGUGGGGGUAUCUUAAGUCCAAAGUUUAUGUUAAUCAGCCAAACAACAUUGAAGACUUAAAAAUUAGAAUAACGGAAGAAAUAAGAUUGAUAGAACCUUCUGUUAUCGAUAACGUUUUACAAGAAUUUCAGCAUCGACUGGGAUAUUGCCAAGAGGUUCGUGGCAGCCAUUUUCAACACUUAAUAAAUUAAUUAAAAUAUUUUUAUGUAUUCUUGCUUGAUAUAAAUAACUCUUCCAAAAAUAGCCUUUUAUUGUGUUCAAUCGUCAACGGUCGAGUUUAGGUAUAGGACAUGGUACAUGAAAUGUACUUAGAAUUUGAUGUAGAACCUAAAUCUAAAAUAAAAAAUAGGUGUUUACAUUUAAAAAAAUUACGUUGAUGACCGUAACUUAUUUUUGGGCCACCCUGUAUACAUAAAAUUAUAGUAAGAAAACCUGCAGUUAAAAAUAAAAAUCGACAUGUCCGAGCGUUUUUUUUUGAACAUACCCCUGAAUUUUAAAUGAAUUUAUUCCAACCUUUACGUUCGCACUGUAUAUAUAAAUAUAGAAAAAUGUGUAAAUUCUUAAUGAUUAAAGUUUAAGUACACCGGACAAAUAUAUUUGUAUUUUAAUUUGAAUAAAAAAUCCUGGUCUAAAA
rnacentral:lncRNA from 1 species